rnacentral:rRNA from 1 species
UGGGGGAUAUUGCACAAUGGGCGAAAGCCUGAUGCAGCGACGCCGCGUGGGGGAUGAAGGCUUUCGGGUUGUAAACCUCUUUCGCUAUCGAACAAGGCCCGCUUAGGGUGGGUUGAGGGUAGGUGGAGAAGAAGCGCCGGCUAACUACGUGCCAGCAGCCGCGGUAAUACGUAGGGCGCGAGCGUUGUCCGGAAUUAUUGGGCGUAAAGGGCUUGUAGGCGGCUUGUUGCGCCUGCUGUGGAAACGCGGGGCUUAACUUCGCGCGUGCAGUGGGUACGGGCAGGCUUGAGUGUGGUAGGGGUGACUGGAAUUCCAGGUGUAGCGGUGGAAUGCGCAGAUAUCUGGAGGAACACCGAUGGCGAAGGCAGGUCACUGGGCCAUUACUGACGCUGAGGAGCGAAAGCAUGGGUAGCGAACAGG